CACANCGCAAGUCGAACGGUAACAGGUCUUCGGAUGCUGACGAGUGGNGAACGGGUGAGUAAUACAUCGGAACGUGCCUGGUAGUGGGGGAUAACUACUCGAAAGAGUAGCUAAUACCGCAUGAGAUCUACGGAUGAAAGCAGGGGACCUUCGGGCCUUGUGCUACCAGAGCGGCUGAUGGCAGAUUANGUAGUUGGUGGGGUAAAGGCUUACCAAGCCUGCGAUCUGUAGCUGGUCUGAGAGGACGACCAGCCACACUGGGACUGAGACACGGCCCACACUCCUACGGGAGGCAGCAGUGGGGAAUUUUGGACAAUGGGCGAAAGCCUGAUCCAGCAAUGCCGCGUGCAGGAUGAAAGCCCUCGGGUUGUAAACUGCUUUUGUACGGAACNAAAAAACUGGGGCUAAUAUCCCCNGGUCAUGACGGUACC
rnacentral:rRNA from 1 species